rnacentral:rRNA from 1 species
UACGGGGGGGAGCAAGCGUUUGUUCGGAUUUACUGGGCGUAAAGGGCGCGUAGGCGGCACCGCAAGUCGAUUGUGAAAUCUCCGGGCUUAACCCGGAAAGGUCAACCGAUACUGCGGGGCUAGAGUGCAGAAGGGGCAACUGGAAUUCUCGGUGUAGCGGUGAAAUGCGUAGAUAUCGAGAGGAACACCUGCGGCGAAGGCGGGUUGCUGGGCUGACACUGACGCUGAAGCGCGAAAGCUAGGGGAGCGAACGGG